rnacentral:rRNA from 1 species
GAGUCUGGCGGCGGCUCACACAUGCAGUCGAGCGGAACGAUACCAGCUUGCUGGUAGGCGUCGAGCGGCGGACGGGUGAGUAAUACUUAGGAAUCUACCUAGUAGUGGGGAUAGCUCGGGGAAACUCGAAUUAAUACCGCAUACGACCUACGGGAGAAAGGGGGCAGUUUACUGCUCUCGCUAUUAGAUGAGCCUAAGUCGGAUUAGCUAGAUGGUGGGGUAAAGGCCUACCAUGGCGACGAUCUGUAGCUGGUCUGAGAGGAUGAUCAGCCACACCGGGACUGAGACACGGCCCGGACUCCUACGGGAGGCAGCAGUGGGGAAUAUUGGACAAUGGGGGAAACCCUGAUCCAGCCAUGCCGCGUGUGUGAAGAAGGCCUUUUGGUUGUAAAGCACUUUAAGCAGUGAAGAAGACUCCUCGGUUAAUACCCGUGGACGAUGACAUUAGCUGUAGAAUAAGCACCGGCUAACUCUGUGCAGCAGCCGCGGUAAUACAGAGGGUGCAAGCGUUAAUCGGAAUUACUGGGCGUAAAGCGAGCGUAGGUGGCUUGAUAAGUCAGAUGUGAAAUCCCCGGGCUUAACCUGGGAACUGCAUCUGAAACUGUUAGGCUAGAGUAGGUGAGAGGAAGGUAGAAUUCCAGGUGUAGCGGUGAAAUGCGUAGAGAUCUGGAGGAAUACCGAUGGCGAAGGCAGCCUUCUGGCAUCAUACUGACACUGAGGCUCGAAAGCGUGGGUAGCAAACAGGAUUAGAUACCCUGGUAGUCCACGCCGUAAACGAUGUCUACUAGUCGUUGGGUCCCUUGAGGACUUAGUGACGCAGCUAACGCAAUAAGUAGACCGCCUGGGGAGUACGGCCGCAAGGUUAAAACUCAAAUGAAUUGACGGGGGCCCGCACAAGCGGUGGAGCAUGUGUUUAUUCGAUGCAACGCGAAGAACCUUACCUGGUCUUGACUAUCUAGAAUCCUGCAGAGAUGCGGGAGUGCCUUCGGAAUUAGAUUGCAGUG